rnacentral:tRNA from 1 species
GCGAGCAUAGUUUAAUCGGUAGAACGGGGGUCUCCAAAACCCUUGGCAGGUGUUCGAAUCACCGGGCUCGUG